rnacentral:ncRNA from 1 species
AGAGUUCAAGAUGGGGUGUGGGACAUGUGGCAUACAGAAACCCUGCUCCCCGGCAUUGCUUUCGGGGACACAAAUCCUUGUGAUUGAGGCUGCAACUUGCGGACAGUGUGAGGCUGGUAGCAGCCCCCUGGCACGCUGGGUCUCGGGCUCUUAGAGUAGGGUUGCUUGGGAAUGCAGCCCAAAGUGGGUGGUAAACUCCAUCUAAGGUUAAAUACUGGCACAAGACUGAUAGCCCACAAGUACCAUAAGG